GUUUAUAUAGUUUAAAAUAAAACAUUACAUUUUCAUUGUAAAAUUAAAAACUUAAUUUUUUAUAAAUUA
rnacentral:tRNA from 1 species